UUUGGGGCUGUCACCCGGGGCGCCUCCCCGCGUGGCUGGGCGGGCACAGUCACGACGCUGCGACCCCACCCGUCGGCCCAGCCCCCACGAAUGCUUAGCUUCUGGAAACCAUCCCGGGAGCACUUGACUAUCACCCCCAAGCGAGGAGCAAAUCCUGGAGACAGAUGUGUCCCGCAGGAGCUGGAAUAGAAGUCCACGCCACAGCACAGGUGAUUAGGAAAUAGGGCAGUGGUGAGACUUGUUGAAGAUGAAGCAGAUGUUGGUGGAGGAAAAAAAUCACCCUGCUCUGGCUUAAUUAUCAUGUCUCAAGCAGAAACAAACUUGAGUCAGGGAUGGACUGAGGCAAGAUGAGGGCUUUGUCUUUUUCAACUGUUCCCACAGCUAAUAAUUCCAGUUCAGAGCAUAAAUAUUGUGGCCUCAUUAAAGUUAUAGACACAAGGCACAGUCCAGAAACAAACCUGCAUGAAGAAGUGGGCCCUUUGUUACUGACAAGAACACAGAUUCUUCUACUUUAAGGAAUUGACCCAUCACCCCAUGGGUUGCUCAACUCUGGAUGAAAGGUGUAAUUAAGGAUCUCAAGAGGAAGAGAUCUACCUGGAUUAUGCAUGCAUGCCCUAAUGCAUCACAGAAGAAACACUUUGGAGACCCUCAAAGGAGUACAUCUAGCCAGCCGGCAGCAAGCACGUACUAGUUGCUCUUCCAGGAAAUGGGGACAUCAUCUCCAUGAGUGAGCAUAUUCUGAGGUAGGUUCCUAUGAAGACAGUAGUCAAAUGGGAUGAAGACCCAACCUAAUAGCCACAGUUUAAGAGA